CGAGUCGGCCGGGUGAUCGCGGCGCUGCCNNAGCGUCGAGGAAAGUCCGGACUCCGCAGAGCAGGGUGGUGGGUAACACCCACCCGGGGUGACCCGCGGGAAAGUGCCACAGAGAACAGACCGCCCCUCCGCGAGGAGANGGUAAGGGUGAAACGGUGGGGUAAGAGCCCACCGCGUCCUUGGUGACAAGGGCGGCACGGCAAACCCCACCCGGAGCAAGACCAAGAAGGGCCUUCGGGCCCGCGGACGCCGCCUGAGCGUUGCUCGCGCGAGGCGCCCGGGUAGGUCGCACCAGGCGGCUGGCAACAGCCGUCGCAGAUGGAUGAUCACCCUUCCCACAAGGGAANGACAGGAUCCGGCUUAUAGGCCGGCUCGUCCC
rnacentral:RNase_P_RNA from 1 species